UGGUGAGGUGGAGGGAUUACGCACCCUUUGGGUGUGAGGAAGUUCCGUCCACUGUAGGCAAUUUGCAAAACCGUAAGGUUUUGAAAAGCUGGUUGUCGAUUCGUCGACAACCGGAAAGGCCUCUAAGGGGCCAGGUGGCAAUACAGAAACCAAACUUCCUCUAGCGUGAAGGCUAUGAAACGAGCUGCGAAAGGAAGAUGAAAUGCGUGUCGCCUUGCCGUUGACAGUGCAAGAGUUUAUCUCGCGAAGUCAAAUAUCCCGUAAAACCUAAGGCGGACUAACCACCUCACCU
rnacentral:misc_RNA from 1 species